UGUAGUUUUCGCCUGUCCAGGACGCCUUCACCCCUGCUUCGAGAAAAGUCCCUCUCCCACUCCAAGUGGUACUGACGGGGGUCACCCACACAAAAGAAACCUGGAGGCUCCCCUCCUGGGGCACCCGGCUUCUGCUCCAACCAGGUUUCAACAGAAAAUGAGAAAUAUCCCCCGACGAUUGGCUGAAAACAUGCAGCAACCACUAUUUUCUUCCUGCCCCUCGUUGAUGAGAGCAUUCGAAGUGACCUCAGCAGGGCAUCCAGAUCAAUUAUGCAGCUACAGCCAAAACCAAGUUCUUUUUAUUGCAAUGGUAAUGAAAGGAGCCCCGUGUAAGUCACUGGAAGGUCACAUGUUCACAGACUGUCAGCUGUGGAGGGUUAUGUAACAGUGGUUAUGCAAUGCCACGUUAGAACUACAGCC
rnacentral:sRNA from 1 species